UUGAACGCUGGCGGCAUGCCUUACACAUGCAAGUCGAACGGCAGCACGGGUGCUUGCACCUGGUGGCGAGUGGCGAACGGGUGAGUAAUACAUCGGAACAUGUCCUGUAGUGGGGGAUAGCCCGGCGAAAGCCGGAUUAAUACCGCAUACGAUCUACGGAUGAAAGCGGGGGACCUUCGGGCCUCGCGCUAUAGGGUUGGCCGAUGGCUGAUUAGCUAGUUGGUGGGGUAAAGGCCUACCAAGGCGACGAUCAGUAGCGGGUCUGAGAGGACGACCAGCCACACUGGGACUGAGACACGGCCCAGACUCCUACGGGAGGCAGCAGUGGGGAAUUUUGGACAAUGGGCGAAAGCCUGAUCCAGCAAUGCCGCGUGUGUGAAGAAGGCCUUCGGGUUGUAAAGCACUUUUGUCCGGAAAGAAAUCCUUGGCCCUAAUACGGUCGGGGGAUGACGGUACCGGAAGAAUAAGCACCGGCUAACUACGUG
rnacentral:rRNA from 1 species